rnacentral:antisense_RNA from 1 species
UGUGGGAGGGGGCUUGCCCCCGAUGAGGGUGUGUCAGCUGAUAAAUCUGUAGCUGACACACUGCCAUCGGGGGCAAGCCCCCUCCCACA